UACGAAGGGGGCUAGCGUUGCUCGGAAUCACUGGGCGUAAAGCGCACGUAGGCGGCUUCUUAAGUCAGGGGUGAAAUCCUGGGGCUCAACCCCAGAACUGCCCUUGAUACUGAGGAGCUUGAGUCCGGGAGAGGUGAGUGGAACUCCGAGUGUAGAGGUGAAAUUCGUAGAGAUUCGGAAGAACACCAGUGGCGAAGGCGGCUCACUGGCCCGGUACUGACGAUGAGGUGCGAAAGAGUGGGGAGCAAACAGG
rnacentral:rRNA from 1 species